UCUAAUGUCUGGUUCUGCGGUGUAAUCGUGCACGGCAUUUCGUUGUCCUGCAGUGUUCUUAUUUUACAUAUUUAAUAUUUUGUGCAGGAGAUCUUCCAAAUUUAAGUCAAAAUUUCCUUUGGAAUUGUGCAAUAAUAUGUACAGAUGUAAUUAAAAUAGUUCGCCAGGCGGUAUUUCAAUUGGAUAUAUGUAUUUUAAUAUUACGAGGACCGCGUGUACUCAAUCAUUUGUGGCAGCAGUAUUUUGAGAUAAAAGAAGAAUAUCGGGAAAUCAAGCUAGUACUUUUGCAGUGUAAUCGAAAAAAACGUGUUCAGACAUGAAUGAUUCGCAGCAGGCCUCAUGCUCACGAAAGCCAGCUUCCACAAAUUUAAGCGAAUACAACAUUGCCUCGAAUCCACCAAUGCUCAACCCUGAAGAGGCAGAGGAAGAUCGCAAGCAUAUGCAGAAGAUCAUAGCAGCUUUGCGCUAUUAUCAAAAAUACUGCUAUGCGCGCGUAAAUAAGACUGAAAGCUACCUCAACAGUCUUCCUAAACGUCAUCAGGACAUGUUGGCCAAGUAUCGCAAUCAUUUGCGUGUUAUAAGAGACUGUAUCGAUGAGAAUCAGAAGGUUAUCAGGAAAAUGUUGCGCGACAAUGUCGAUUUUAUUGAUAUGGACGGUUCCGAACAGAUGUACGUUGCUCAGCAUGACAUCGAUGGGCAUGCGACCAAAAUUAGGCGUCAAGAUAUGGAACAUGCAACAGAGCAAGCUGAUGUUGAACCUUUUAAAAUUUUAAAGGCCCAAUCGACAUUAAAGUUAAUUGCGCGCGAUUGGAGUGCAUCCUGCGCCGAGGAGCGUGAACAAUCGUACAAACCGAUCAUCGAUGCUAUCGAGGAGUUUUUUAAGCCUAGCGAAUUUGAACUUAAUGAAGUGAAAAUUCUUGUACCUGGUGCUGGGCUUGGACGUCUAACCUAUGAACUAGCCUACCGUGGCUAUGAAUGUGAAGGCAAUGAAGUUUCCUAUUUUAUGCUAAUAGCCUCAUAUUUUGUCUUAAAUCUCUGCACUGAGGAAAAUAAGUACACGCUAUAUCCCUGGGUGCAUCAGUUCGUAAAUAAUUUACGUAUGGCAGAUCAAGUGAUGCCCAUUCGGUUUCCUGACAUUUGCCCAGCGAAAAAUCCACCUAAGGGCAACUUAAUGAUGGCAGCAGGCGACUUUUUGGAGGUCUACAAAACGCCUAACAGCUAUGAUUGUGUCGCCACUUGCUUCUUUAUCGACUGCGCUAAUAAUAUUGUGGACUUUAUUGAAACUAUUUUUAGAAUAUUGAAACCAGGCGGCAUUUGGGUGAAUUUGGGCCCACUACUUUAUCAUUUCAGCGAUAUACAGGGCGAGAAUAGCAUCGAACCUACUUUUGAAAAUUUGGAGGUAAUCAUCAAAAUGGUUGGCUUUGAAUUUCUUCGUAGCCAAACAGGCGUACGCACUAAAUAUGCACAAAACCCACAAUCCAUGCUUAAAAGUGAAUACGAAAGCUUAUUUUGGAUUUGCCGCAAGCCAGAAAAUGCAGUUGACCGCAUUGACGAUUCAUCGCAUUGCGAUGAUGAAUCUGAUGAGCUCAUUGAUGGCGGCGUUGGCAGUAGCAACAACAGUAGUCGCUAUGAAGAUAACUACAGCAAUGGCUAUAGAAACGCAUACCAACAUCAAUAGUAUUGACGGCAGUUCAAACAGCUGCUAGGCGUCAGCGGUGACAGUCAAGGGACGACAAAAGGCGCAAGAGCAGAGAAGUUAACAUCACAUCCACUGUGAAUAACAUGAAGUUAAAUCUCGCCACAAACACACAUCGUGAUCAGCGUUGCCGGAAGCUUGAAAAAAAAUGUAUUAGUUGUUUAUUCUGUGGUAUUAUCUUGCCUAACACUUAGUUAUUAGUCAUUUUGCAAUCCUAUUUUUUUGUUUUUUGACACAAACAACAAAUUUUUCCACAUCCCCGUAAGCGUACGCAAAUCAGAAUGACUAUGUGUUCAUAAAAAACACAACUCGCUUGAUGACAACAAAGUUGUACGUAUAAUACGGGGCCUGUUCGAGGCACGUAAUAAAAGCGGCAAUACUGCAGCACUGAUGAAAAUUUGCAAUACUGUUGCAACUUCCCAACUGAUAAAACGUUGCUAGAAAUUCACACCGAUCGUGAUACUUUAAUAAUUCGCGCAACAUUGCGUUUGUGAUUGCCUCUCGAACAAGCCCAUGCUCUCUUUUAUGAUCGAGUAGUAUAAAUAUUGAAUAUUAGGCAUAUGAAAUUGAAUUCUUUAACAUGGAAUAUGUUUUUAAGUUUAAUUAAAGCAUUAUGCAAAAGCAUAAAACACGAUACUAUAGUAGAGUAUGUUUGUAAUUUUAAGCAAAGUAUUACCGGAACCAGAACUAUGAUUUCAAAAUCUACAAAGUUGCAAAAAUAGUUGGUAGAACACACUUCACGAAAUGAAUGAAAUAAAAAUUUUACCUGUAUUGAAAUUA
rnacentral:misc_RNA from 1 species